rnacentral:rRNA from 1 species
GACGAACGCUGGCGGCGUGCUUAACACAUGCAAGUCGAACGGAAAGGCCCUGCUUGCAGGGUGCUCGAGUGGCGAACGGGUGAGUAACACGUGGGUGAUCUGCCCCUUACUUUGGGAUAAGCCUGGGAAACUGGGUCUAAUACUGGAUAGGACCAUGCUGUAGGUGGUGUGGUGGAAAGAUUAGUUUCGGUAAGGGAUGAGCUCGCGGCCUAUCAGCUUGUUGGUGGGGUAAUGGCCUACCAAGGCGUCGACGGGUAGCCGGCCUGAGAGGGUGGACGGCCACAUUGGGACUGAGAUACGGCGCAGACGCCUACGGGAGGCAGCAGUGGGGAAUAUUGCACAAUGGGGGCAAGCCGGAUGCAGCGACGCCGCGUGGGGGAUGACGGCCUUCGGGUUGUAAACUCCUUUCAGCCAUGACGAAGCCCUUGUGGUGACGGUAGUGGUAGAAGAAGCACCGGCUAACUACGUG